rnacentral:rRNA from 16 species
AAGCCGGGUUACGGUGCCCAACUGCACGCUAACCUAGAACCCACAAAGGGUGUUGGUCGAUUAAGACAGCAGGACGGUGGUCAUGGAAGUCGAAAUCCGCUAAGGAGUGUGUAACAACUCACCUGCCGAAUCAACUAGACCCAAAAAUGGAUGGUGCUGAAGCGCGUGACCCACACCCGGCCAUCUGGGCGAGCGCCAUGCCCCGAUG